CGCCGUUAGAAGUGGCAUCGGCCUCGAACAACGGCCGUCGUCAUGGAGGAGGGAUGACUCUCUGCUAUAGCAACCGGACGGGAUACAAAGCGCCAUUCUCCAUUGCAAGAGACUCGGAGUCAGAGCCAUCGUCUAUGUUGGCAAGAUCGGAGAGCGAGCCAUUGUCGGAGAAAUCCAUGGAGCUGCUAUGAAAAUUUUCUUGAAGGAAAAAGGGACAGGAAACUGAUGGACAUCAAAUCACCAAGGAAGACUAGCCCAACAAUGAUGCUUUCGAGGUUGGCAAGGAGAUGGUGGCUACCAAUGAAGAAGGCAGACAAAGAAGAUGAGGAUGAAGGGUUCUUUGAGGUGGUCGUUCUACAAGGAUUGCUUACUGUUGCAGUCAGGAAAAAGGCUUGGGGCUUGCCGGAAAUGGAGGAUCGUCGGAGGUGGAUAAAGUGCUACAGUGACUGGAGGUAGAACGGCGGUGCCAGCCCCUCCAUUAUCCUCCUCCCCCUUUUCCUUUUUGGCUUCAUUUUCUUUUUUGUUUUUAAAAUAUUUUAUAAUGAUUUUUUAAUAACAAAUUUCCGUAGGGCCUACUUAGUCAAAAAUCGUGCGCCAUGUGUCACCGUCAAAUAUCACGUUAGCACAACCGGUUAGAAUUGACGGAGAAUAUAACGGAAUGUUAAAAUAUAUAACGGAUUGGUAGUUUGUGCAUUUUUCUACAAAAAAAAUAGUUCAUAAUAAAACGUAGAAAAUGUGCAUAGUUUAUAAUUGUUUAGGUAGUUUCACCUUAAUAAAUAUUAUGGUAAAUUACACUGAUAGUCCAAAAAGUUCUAAUAAUAUAUCAGAUUGGUCCAAAAAGUUUUUUUUGCUACUUGAUAGUACAAAAUGUUUCAAAGUUGUAACAUGAUAAUAUAAACCGUUAUUUCACCAUUGACGCCGUCAAGCGAAACUAACGUGACCGACAUGUGGCUUUGAUAUGUUUUUAGGAGUUGAUGGAACGUUACAUAAUGGUUCAAACUCUUUUGAAGUUGUUAUUUAAUGGUCCAAAAUAUUUUACAGAUAUAACAUAAUGAUACAAAAUAUUUCUUUAAUUAAUGUAAAGAUCCACUCAUGUCAAUGGCGAGAUGACGGUUUGUACUAUCAUGUUAUACUUUUGAAACAUUUUGUAUCAUCAAUUAGCAAAAAAUCCUUUUUGAGCCAACUUGAUAUAUUAUUAAAACUUUUUGGACCACCGGUGUAAUUUACCUUAAAUACUAAGUAGUGUGCUUUUCCUUUUCUUAAUCUUGAUAUAUUAUUACUAUCAAAAAAAAAUCUUGAUAUAUUAUUUAUUACAUAUUAUAGUUUUAAAAAUUAAAUAAAUGGGAAGAAGGCAUGCAAAUGUUAGCUUAUGCUUAGCCUAAAGUACACUGUCAACACCUUUGUCCAGCAAAGAGGGUGCCGUCCCUAAUAAACUCCGGCCUUGUAUUAAUUAAAACAGAACUAUACUCUCUGUUAGCUAAUAAAACUAAGUUGAAAUACUGUAUGUACGUACGUAGUUCUUGAAUACCGAUGGAUACAUUAGGGCCGAUUCGAUUCGAUAAUCUCCAGAAAACUAGUUAUAGUAUAUGGAUGGUCAUUUGAAUACCGAUGGAUUCAUAAUGGCCUAUUCGAAUGAAAUUGUUUUCAAAAACAUCCUAUGCACUUCAUCAACAUAUCCUCAAGGCCUUCAAAGACCACUCCGCACCUCGGGCUUCUCCAAGCACAGAUGAUACGCUCCGAUGACAACAUCCCCCAAAGCCUCUCGAACUGUGAUGGGCGAAACUGAACACCGAUGCCGUGCCGCAUGGAGUAAUUUGACAUCCUGCAUCUCAAGAGUUGCCAUUAGCCUUGAUAAUGAGUUAUCUUCUCUUGGUUCUCCAAAGCUGCCACAACCUCUCCUCUCCAAGCUGAAGGUCAAGCUGUCUUGCUGAAGGUCAAGUUGUCCUUCUCGCCCUCUCAAUAGCUCUUGACAGAGGCUGGUACAAGGCGUGGAUUGAAAGUGAUGCCUUUAUCCUUGUCGAAGCAAUCUUCAAACCCCAGCAAGCACCUUGGGAAAUUCGAACAAUUAUUAGUGAUAUUUUAACUUAUUUUCGUUUAUUUUCGAAUUGGCGAUGCAUUUGGAUUUCUCGUAAGGGUAACCUCUUAGCACACAACUUGGCCCACGUUGGCUCCAUGUCGAAUUUCGAUUCCUUUUGUACCUUUGAUGGUUACCCGAACU